CAAUGAAUUUUUGAAAAAGACGACAAAAUUUCAAGAGACGGUGGACAUAAACAUUGAAU
rnacentral:sRNA from 1 species